AAUACCCUACUGUGCCCGUGAUGCAGCACAAGUGUUUUGAGCCAACACCAUCUAAUAGGGGCUCAUAUUCUCGACAGUGAUGCGAUAGGCUUCGGCCAAGGCUGAACUCUCGGAGCGGGUCCCGACCUGCGAUAGCAGGUUCAAAACCCUGUUGCACACGACAUGGUGGGGUUUUU
rnacentral:other from 1 species